GUAAGCCCAUCGCCAGAUCAGGUAUGCUGCUACGUAUGUCGUUCUCCGUUUCCUCUUGAUUCGAUAUCUGUCUCUGCGAUUGAUUAUGCCUGCUCGACAUCAGCGGCUCGAUCUUUGUGGCAAUCGUCGAUCGGUACUGCCAACAGCAUAACUUGUCGCCCUUACGAUGCCAAGAGAUGUACUACCACACACAUUGUAACGAGUAAUACGCGACAUUAAGUCUGCUCCUGCUUUGCUUUGAAUCCAGAUUAAAGGUCUCAAAGUAAAUGUCAGCACAGAAUCUAAGAAACUCAUUACUGAACAUCACUCAUUGACUGAUUCAGUUGAGAAGCACAGAUUCAUGCAACCUUCAUUUUAGAAGGCUGAUUAUUUUUCCUCUAAUUAGUCUUAUGUGAUGCAAGAACAACUUUAUUUUUCAUCAUGGCCUUGUGAGAUCUCACCAGCAUGUAAACAAUCCAAGAAAGAGAAAACCUGUACAUGUAGAAAGCAUGAAGUUUAUCAAAUGAACUUUUA